AGGGUUCGAUUCUGGCUCAGGAUGAACGCUGGCGGCGUGCUUAACACAUGCAAGUCGAACGGGAUCCAUCAGGCUUUGCUUGGUGGUGAGAGUGGCGAACGGGUGAGUAAUGCGUGACCGACCUGCCCCAUACACCGGAAUAGCUCCUGGAAACGGGUGGUAAUGCCGGAUGCUCCAGUUGAUCGCAUGGUCUUCUGGGAAAGCUUUCGCGGUAUGGGAUGGGGUCGCGUCCUAUCAGCUUGACGGCGGGGUAACGGCCCACCGUGGCUUCGACGGGUAGCCGGCCUGAGAGGGCGACCGGCCACAUUGGGACUGAGAUACGGCCCAGACUCCUACGGGAGGCAGCAGUGGGGAAUAUUGCACAAUGGGCGAAAGCCUGAUGCAGCGACGCCGCGUGCGGGAUGACGGCCUUCGGGUUGUAAACCGCUUUUGACUGGGAGCAAGCCCUUCGGGGUGAGUGUACCUUUCGAAUAAGCACCGGCUAACUACGUGCCAGCAGCCGCGGUAAUACGUAGGGUGCAAGCGUUAUCCGGAAUUAUUGGGCGUAAAGGGCUCGUAGGCGGUUCGUCGCGUCCGGUGUGAAAGUCCAUCGCUUAACGGUGGAUCCGCGCCGGGUACGGGCGGGCUUGAGUGCGGUAGGGGAGACUGGAAUUCCCGGUGUAACGGUGGAAUGUGUAGAUAUCGGGAAGAACACCAAUGGCGAAGGCAGGUCUCUGGGCCGUCACUGACGCUGAGGAGCGAAAGCGUGGGGAGCGAACAGGAUUAGAUACCCUGGUAGUCCACGCCGUAAACGGUGGAUGCU
rnacentral:rRNA from 1 species